UACGUAGGUGGCAAGCGUUGUCCGGAUUUACUGGGCGUAAAGCGCGCGCAGGCGGUCGUGCAAGUCGCGUGUGAAAGCCCCCGGCUCAACUGGGGAGGGUCACGCGAUACUGCUCGACUCGAAGGCAGGAGAGGGAAGUGGAAUUCCCGGUGUAGUGGUGAAAUGCGUAGAUAUCGGGAAGAACACCAGUGGCGAAGGCGGCGAUCUGGGAAGAUACUGACGCUGAGGUGCGAAAGCGUGGGGAGCAAACAGG
rnacentral:rRNA from 1 species